GCUGAGCUUUAUCACGGCUGCACAGACACAGUGAGCUCUGCACUCUGGCUUUCUUCUGCUCUUGCCCAAAUUCCCAUCCAAGGGGCCUGGGGAGUCAUGCCCUACAAACCACGGAGUCUCAUUAGAGGGGUUUUCUUUACCCUACAUAACAUGGCUCACUUUCCAACCUGACUCGGGCACAUCACGUGACAGAUAAAGAACAAAAUAAAAAUAUUUCCAUCCCGAAUGUGUAAUUUUUUUUUUUUUAUUUAUUUUGCCGUAUCUUGAAAUAGUGCAGGAAAAUCUACAUUCUGAAGAGAAUUCCCUUCUUUUUCCUUCCUUUUCCCAGAUCCAGGAGAGAAUUGACUCUGAUAAGAAACACUUACCAUCCAUCCUCUUUGCAGCCUGCUGCCUGGAGGCUUCCUCUGCACGGUGGGAACUGCAUCUCCACAACCCCUUAUCUUCACCCAGACAUCGCUUUCUAUGAAUUCUAGGUCUUCAGACAAUAAUUUAACUCUUUCAACCAAUGGCCAAUCGGAAAAUGUUUGACUCCAUAAUGACUUGGGAGGCCUCACUUCCAGUUGUCCUGCCUUUCCAGACCCAACCAAGGUACAUCUACAGGUAGUGACCAAUGGCUUAUGUCUCCCUAAAGUGUAUAAAACCAAAAGCUGUAUCUUGACCACACUGGACACAUGUUCUCAGGAUCUCCUGAGGGCUGUGCCACGGGCUGUGGGUCAUUCAUCUUUGGCUCAGAAUAAACCCCUUCAAAAUACUUUACAGAGUUCAACUCUUUUUGUCGACAACAGGAAAAAUCUACCUACAAGUGUUGGUACUGGCUGAGGUUUCAGGCAUCUGCUAGGGGUCUUGGAACAUGUCCCCGUGGACAGCGGGGACUACCGUACUUCUACCACGUUCCCACCCCCAGUUCAGAACCCUCACUAGGCAAGAACCCUGUUCGCCUGGACAGGCCAUAGGUAGAGCCAUGUUCUUCCUUACAUCUUCCGCAUCUGGGACAGCAUGGGAGAAAUGCUAAUUACCAUCUCAGCGACCUCAGAAAUGCCCUUAUCUAUGCUUAAAGAGACAAGGAAAUCCUCCUUCUUCUGGUAGAUCUCUCUCUCCUGGCCUCCUCGUAUAAGGGAGGAGAACCAUUUGCUCCACCAGUCAUUGGAAAGAUGGGCCGCCUGGCCUAGGAAGCCAACGUUGGCUGCUGUCAUACAACUACAGCUCUCUCUGCGCUCUGAGACGUUCUGAAAUCACGUGACCGUAAGCUUCCUCCACCUAGCCUCUUUACUUCCCAUGGUCCAAACUGAAUACCUCCCAGGGAGAGGCUGGACGCUAUCCCAUCCCAUGUGUGAGGCUGAUCGGUGCUGUGAAACUGACAGCGCCGACCUCUGACCUCACAUUUCCAUCGCCAAAACAAAACGUGCCUUUGACUGAGAAGUCUUGGGAAUCAUCCAUUCACGCGUGGGAAUGCACAUCUGUCUUCACUGGAGAAACAGUCUUUCACCGCGGCAACUCCGGGUGGGGCUUCCUCACUCAGACCCCUUGCUUAGGGUCCCUCUGGCAGAACGUACUUUAGGAGUCACCUUUCUCAUCUGCUGGAGCUUGAUGAAGGCAGUGCUCCAUAACGUGUGACCUGGAGACCCCGUAAACCAUAUUCCAUAACGUGUGACUGGAGACCAUGUAAACCAUACUCCACAACGUGUGACUGGAGACCCCGUAAACCAUCUUGGGGGAGCUGUAGCAAGGUCGUCUGGCUAUUCUGUGCCCUGGUGCUUCCUUGGAGUCAACACCCAACCCUCCUCCAGCAACGCACACCUCUGGGCACAGCAGCGAACGUGCGGAUGGCGUGUGCGGUGCCUCGGGUGCCGCCUGGAGAGCGUGGACCUGUCCCGAGUGAACACACAACACAGGCGCACUUUCUAACAUCUCUGAUCACCCUUGAGCUUCAGAGAAAUGGCUGUCCUGCUCCCCUGUGGCCCAGAGGGGUCUGGGUGGAUCUGAGAGGGUCUGUGAUGGCCCUUAAUCAAACAUAGGGCGCCGUGAUCACUGUGCUGGGUGCGCCACGUUUGCCUUCCUUUGCUCAGUGAUGAGUCGUCUCAAUGUCACAAGCUGCUCACACUUCCUGGAAGGGAGACUCGGGCAGUGCGCCUUGAGAAGGGAAGGAAGCAGGAUGCUUCCCAGAACCGGUCCUCAGAGGCCCGGGCCCAGGUGGCUGCAUCAUCAACACCUUCCAGAAAGUGAGGAAAUCAGCACCAGAGAGGCAGAGCGCAUACUCAGAGGACAGAGGCGCAGACAGACCUGCAGGUUCCGACCCCCAUGCACUCCUCUCGGCGCCCCCACGAGGCCCUGUGAUGCUUCCACCGACACCGCAAUGUCUCAUGUAGAGAUUCUGCACUGACCUGCAACAGGGCUCUCCUGAGUGAUGAUGGAGGGAGGCAGAACACUCUGCCAAUGAAGAGGCAGAAGAGAGGAAAGAAAUGAUUGUGGGCAGGGAUGCACUGGGCUCGCAGAGGCGUGUCUGAAAGCCAGGGAGAUGGAGGCAGCGGUCUAUGCGCUCGGUCCACAGAGGCACGUCUCAGAGCUGCGGAGAUGGAGGCAGAUGUCUACACGCUGGGUCCACAGAGGCGUGUCUGAAAGCCACGGAGAUGGAGGCAGCCGUCUGUGCCCUCCGUCCACAGAGGCGUGUCUCAGAGCUGCGGAGAUGAAAGCAGCCCUCUAUGCGCUCCAUCCAUGGAGGCGCGUCUCAGAGCUGCGGAGAUGAAGGCAGCCAUCUGGGUUCCUAGGGCACUGCCUCUUCUCCCCGAGUUCUUGCUACACGGAUCCGCCUGGUUCUACCUGCACAGCUUGAGCUCGUUGUCACCUUGUGCCCUGCCCAGAUCCUCCUGGACUUCCCUUGAGGCUGAAUCUCUGUGCAGCCUGCCCCUGAGAUCCUGGCAUUUUCUCUCGCCUGGGUGAGAACUCGGUUUCCAUCCUCCCCAAGGAAUGCUACCUGUUCCCUAUGCGUAGGUGGGAUGGCAGUGGAGGGUGGAGGGCGGGUUGACAUGUACCUCUGAAGAUGUGUGGAAAGGUGUGGAGGUGCCUGUCUUUCAGUUCUUCCUGUUUUUCUCCGGCCUACUGUCCCGCAGCUCUCCGUGGUCGUACACAGCCCUUCUCCUUAUUGGCCUCCCAUGGGUAGCACACAGGUCUUCACGCAAAAUCGGCUGCGUCGCCAUGAGCAUGGAGCCGGGGAAGGUGCCUGGUUGGAAGUCAGGGAGGCGGGGGGUCCAUCCCGGCCCCUCUGCCUCCGGCUGUGAGGAGGGGUCAGGUCACGUGCUCCACGGCACCUCUUCGUGGGGGGAGGGGACAGGCGUGGGCCUCGGCUCUUGGAGUCACCGCGCAGGCGCAGUGACAAUGUUUGCGGAGCGAAGCGCGGUCCCCAUCGGGUGUCGCCCACAGGAGCUGCUUCCGGAACGCACAGGGAACGCUCAGCAGAAGCAGCCCUCUGAGAGUCAGUGCAGAGUUCAGCCAUCUGAGCUUGCCCCAUUUCUAGAUUCUUCUAACUCUUGAAAAGUUUACUUUUACAGAAAGCACGCUCGAGCCUACAUUUGAGCCGCUUCCCUAAUGACAGGAUUUGAAGGCUGUUUAAAUUAGGGAUUCAUUUCUGCUCCGUUAGGACAAUGACAUUGAUUGGUUUUAAUGCUGGCUUCCUCCUCCAUUUCACUCGCAGCUGUGCACCAGCCGCGCUCAGCCACUGCCGUAAUGAUUACUAAUGGCUUUUCUUUGAAAACCAUAGAAAUGAUCGUAAUUUUAUUUUGGACCGAGGAUCAAGUCUCCACAGAAGCUGCCCCUAAAGUCUGCAGAAUUUUUACCAGUGGUUAAAUGUCACUUAAAUCAGGCCAAGAGAAAGUCUCAAAGUCACUAAUGAAGCAACCCCACUCAACUAAGAAUGACAAUCAGUGCCUCUGUCAGAACAGAUGGCUGCAAAGGCGCACGACAGCGGAGCCCGGCUCCAGUCACCAGGUGCACUCGUCACCCCCUCGCGUCCCGCUCCGGAGCUCCGCAGGCCUUACCAGCUUAAACACCACCAUGCCUUCCGAUAAACUACGACAUCAUCUUCCGAAGGAAUUCAGUUAUGACUAACAGCAACGUACACUUAACUUUGCAUUUUUUCUGGACUCGGAAAAAAAAUUAAAAAGUGCUGAAGUAGAAAGGCACACUAUUUCUUAUUUAAAUAUCUGCUAACUUCAAGAGGAAAUCGUAUCUGCCUGUGGUGAAACUUGAACAUUGUUCGCAUGAAAAGUGACACCUACUUAUAUUUUCUACAACCUGUUUCAGAUCUAAAUUCCAAAUACAUGCGGCGUUAGGUCCCCUGCACUACCAUCUAUACUUAAUAAAGUUUUAUACUAAAGACACCUUAAAGAUAUGUCCACCAUGCUUACCCAGGAAACACUACUUUAAAGACAGAGUGAAGGGCAUUUUACAAAGCUUAGAAAAAUGUGGC
rnacentral:lncRNA from 1 species